GUGGUCUAGUGGUUAGAGCGUCCGCCAGGAAUGUUGGAGGUCCUGGGUUCGAUCCCCGGUCUAGUCA